GUGGACAAGAAAACAUCAACCGACCGAACCCGGUCCGGCCCGUGCGUUUUUUGAGCUUUUGGAUCGGAUCGGUUCGGACCGUCGGGUCGUCGGGUGGUUACAAAGGGUUGAGGCGGUUUAGUUUGGUCGGAAACGGUUUGUAUUCUUGGGCCCGUCGGAAUCCUAAUCCGACCGAGUCCAUUAAUGUUUUUAUGGGCCUUGUACUCCAACCAACCCAGUCCAUGUUCAACUUGCUACUUAACCUUCUUAUCAUUUCCUAACCCUAAAUCUCAGCCUUCAUGUGAAAUCUGCGCCGCACUCCAUCCUAGUACAAAGAUUUUUGUGUGUUUUGUAUCCCUUCAUGUGUAACAGUCUUUCACCGUCCACAAAUGUUUUGUCUUCACGCCUCUAUAUCUUCAUUUCACCGAUGAUUCCUACUAUUAUCUCAAUAUUCAAAAGGUCUAAAGGGGAUUGAAAGCAGAUCUAUUUGUGAUUUCUAAAGUUAAGUUUUUGUUUUUUUUAAAGUGUGUUCUGUUGUUGUGUUUUAUUCUCAGGUGAUGAACUGAUUUGAAGCCAUGAGAGGUGAUUCAAGUGCUUGAAUGAAAUGAAGACAACAUAUACUGGAAAGAUCUCUAAAGUUUUCAGAGAUUACAUAGAUUAUAUGGCCUUGAAAAGAAAACUCAAGUUCUAAAAACAUAAGGACGCCGUAGAAUCAGGACUUGCAGGUGUUAAUAUAAUUUGUAGGAAGAGUUGUUUACAGGGCCUCAACCUGAGAACCAUUGCAGACCAAACAUAAUGUCCUGCAAUAGAGUAUUUUCCAUACCAGUUCUGGAUUUGAAAUGAUUUAAAUAUGCUGAAGAAUUAAUGAAUUUGGGCUUUGAGGAAUGGAGAUAAUUUAUUAUUUGUAUUGUGUAUGUUAUUGUAAUAUUAUAUCAUAUUUUAUUGAAUUUUUUAUUUUUGUUAUUUAGAAAU